CCAAAAAUUGGUUAAAGAACAAAUCGUAGAAACAAUAAUUUCAUUGAAGAAAAUGACCAUGAUGAGACAUCCUUUCAAAACCUAUGGGAUGCAGCCAAACCAGUACUCAGGGGGAAAUCUAUACCCUUGAGUUCAUAUAUUAAUAAAUUAGGGAGGGCAGAGGUCAAUGAAUUGGACAUGCAAAUUUAAAAAUUAGAAAGUGAAUAAUUUAAAAAUCCUCAGAUAAAGGCUAAAUUAGAGAUCCUAAAAAUCAGAAGAGAAAUUAAUAUAAUUGAAGUUAAAGAACUAUUGAUUUAAGAAAUAAGACUAGAAGCUGGUAUUUUGAAAAAACAAAUAAAAUAGACAAAGAACUGUUCAAUCUAAUUUAAAAAAGGAAAGAAGAAAACCAAGGUGAUAGUUUCCAAGAUGAAAAGGGAGACCUCACCUCUAAUGAAGAGGAAAUUAAGGCAAUCAUUAAAAACUAUUAUGCCCAAUUGUAUAGCAAUAAAUAUGGCAAUCUAGGUGAUAGGGAUGAAUAUUUACAAAAAUACAAAUUGUCUAGACUAACAGAGGAAGAAAUAGAAUACCUAAACAACCCCAUAUCAGAAAAUUAAAUUGAACAAGCCAUCAGAGAACUCCCUAAGGAAAAAAAAAAUCCCUAUUUUAAGACUCUAUGCUACUUGGAGAUUCCUUCUGUUCUAUGUAUAUGAGUUCCCUAUUUCUUUUCCCACACUUACCCUUCCUUGCUUCUGUUUUCUUGUCCAGUCCCUACCUGCUCUUUCUAUAUAAUACUAUCAAUCAAAUUACCACUGAGACAGGGCAAUAAAGUGAUAUAGUGUAUUGAGAGUCAGGUCUAGAGAUCUGGGUUUAGAUCUGGCCUCAGACACUUUCUAGUUGUGUGACCCUGGGCAAGUCACUUAACUCUCAUUGCCUAGCCCUUACUGAUCUUUUGCCUUAGAACCAAUACAUAGGCUUUAUUCUAAGAUGGUAAGGUUUUGUUUUUUUUUUCAGUUAUCAUUGAGAGGGUAAUCUUAACCACUAGAGCUAUCCAAAAUGAGAUGCCUCAAAAGAGGCAGUAGGUUCUCCCUCACUAGAAGACUUUGGUUAUAGUGGGAAAGACUAUUUAUACUCAUCACUGCUUGCCUGACUUGUGGCAAUAGUGUCCUACUUCAUUUCCUUGUUUUUGGACUCAUUAAUCAUUGGUAUAUCUUCCACAUCACUUCUAGACCAAACUUCCUAAAAUAUGGCUUCAAUUAGAAUCAUUUUCCCAGUCAAGUAUCUUCACUGGCUCCCUGUCCCCCCAAUAUCAAAUAUAUUCCCCAACUUGACUUUUACGUUCCUUCAUGACCUGGCUUCCUGCUACAUUUUCAUCUUUUAUGUGCCAGGUCAACUGACCUAUCUCUUCCCCAACUCAUAUUGACAUCUCUCACCUCUGCUCCUCUAUAUAGGUUGUUUUCCAUGCACAGAAUGAACUUCUUCACCUCCAGCAUUUGCAGCUUUUAAUAUCCUAUGAGGCUCAACUUAGCUACCAUUUCCUAUAGAAAGUCUCUUUUAUUCUCCCUCAUUGUUGGUGUUCUCUUAUUUCACAAAUUAUCUUCAUUUGCUUUUCUGUUUAUAUUCUACAUCUCUCAAUAGAAUAUUGAGAUCCUUGCAAGCAGGAUCUGUAUUUUUAUUUCUCUCUCUUUUUUCCCUCUGCACUUCACACAGUGCCUAUACUGUACUAUAUACAAAUGAAACAAAGUACUAUACUGUAUAAUAAGUCUAUACUGUUCAUGGAGGGUCUUUUAGCAAAGAUACUGAAGUGGUUUUCCAUUUCUUUCUCCAGUGGAUUAAAGGAAACACAGGUUAAUUAAUUUGUCUAUGGUCAUGCAGUGAGGAAAAGUCUGAGGCUGGAUUUGAAUUCACACCUUCCUGACUCCAGACCCAGUGCCUAUCCACUGAGAUAUCUGGCUGCCUUGAGUGCUGUAGUUGCUUAAGGAAUGAUUAUUGAUCACUUGUCAGGUAUUUCAUAAAGGGAAUUUUUGUUCACGUAAGGGUUGGACUAAGCAGCCUCUGAUGUCCUUCUCCAUUUCCCCCUUCUCUGUGUGUAACUUAACUUCUACCUUGAGGUAGUCAGUCAACAAGCAUGUGUUAGGUUCAUACUAUAUAACAAGCAUGGUUCUAAGUGAAGACAGAAGUACAAUAUAUCUUUAAGGUGCUUUCAUUAUAAUUGGGGAAGACAAUACAUAAAAGGGAGCCAAAAAGAGUGCCUUGGAGGUUCUGGGAGGGAUUGGCCAACCAGACAGUAAGUAGUUAGGAGUGGAGGGUACUUCUAAUGUUAGAAGUAGUCUGGAGGUGGAGAUAGUUUCCAGGGUUAAGAGGCUUCUAUAGCACAUUGGACCAGCUCUAUGGGGAUGAGUCACCAGGCUAGUCUAUCUAGGAGGGAAAGAAAAGCAUCUUUGGGCUAGAGUGUUCUCUUUAAAAGUCCUGUAGAUAUUGGAGGUCAUCUAAUAGGAAUUCUCUUCAAUUCCUCCUCAAAAUGUCUCAUUACAUUUCCCUAUUCUAUCUUCCUUUCCUCAUCUCAGAGUUAUCUACUUGUGAUGAAGGCAAAUUACUUACCUAUGUCUCAGAUUCCUUUUUUUCUCACCUCCCUCAUGGUCUUACUCCAGUAGUCAUUGUCAAGUCUCUCAGACACUUUAAACUCUCUUGCUCCUUUCUAUGUGCCAAAAUAUAUAUUUGCUUCUCUCUAUAGAUACAUCCAAACAUUGCUCCAAAGUUUUCCAUAGCUACAUAAGCAAACUUUUUCAGAAAAGAAACAAGAUGCUUUUCCCUGUCUCCAUUUCCUUUCUUUAAUCCUUUGCUGUUAUCUCCAGGGUCACUGAUGACUGCCUACAUCAAUAAAUCAAAUGAUUAUUUUUAUCUCUCACUCUUCUUUACAUAUCCACUGUAAUUUUGGACACUUAACCAUUCCCUCCUAUCAGACCACAGCUCUACCUUUAUUUUGAGAUAUCACACUCUCUGGGUCUCCUGCUACCUCUAUAACUAUGUUUUCUGUGUCCUUCUUUGACUCCUAUGCCUCUUUAAAAAACCUUACAGUUUCUCUUAGAAUCAAUAUUAAGUAUUGGUUCCAAGGCAGAAGAGCAGUAAGGACUAGGCAAUGGGGGUAAAGUGACUUGCCCACAGUCACACAGCUAGGAAGUGUCUGAGGCCAGCUUUGAACCAGCAUCUCCCAUUUCCAGACCUGACUCUUUAUCUUUGCCUAGCUGCUCUGCCAAUUCCUCUUCCUAAUCCCUCAACAUGGGUGUUACCCUUGUAUCUAUCCUUAGCCCUCUUCUUUCCUCUGUGCUUUCUCCCCUGGCAUUCUCGACCUUGACUUCAUAUAUCACCUCCAUGUAGAUAACCUCAAAUAUUAUGUUUCUAGCUCUGUCUUUUCUUCUAUGCUCCAGACCUGUUUCUCCAACUGCCUACAAGACAUCUGCUACUUCUUCUGACUUCAGUAUUUCCAUCAUAAUUCACCAGUGUCUCAUUUUGAAACUUUGAUAUCUUUAUCUUUAUUACCACCCACAUAUAAUCAGUAAGUAAGUCCUGCUGACUUUAUUUCUAUUGAGUGAGCAUUCUACUGCUAAAAGGGAACAUGUGAUGUUCUGGGAGGACUAGCACUUCUGGUGUGAAGACUUGUUGGGCCCUCUUCAGGGUUACGUAUGCACUUUAGGUGUCCACCUUUCACCCAAUUCUCACCUGCGGCUCCAAGAAGCCAUAGUGUGCUCAGCAGCAACACCCUGGUAAGUGGCAGACUAAAUCUCAAACUUUUUGGUGACUUAGGGAGUUGUUUACCGCAAGCAUAUGAAGACUUCCCCCAGAAGAAUGGAAAGAUGAGAACGGUGUUUUUCAAUGACCAUGAAGGCAACUGAAGCAGGUCCUAUGGAUGGCUUUAGAGCUUGGACAGACAUUGCAGAUACCAAGGUCAUUCAUUGCAUCCCAAAGCCAUCAUCAGUAGUGCUGACUUUUGUUAUGCCAUUGGGUUCUAGACUCUAGAAAUACCAUUGAAGAUACCAUAGUCAUUCAUUGCAUCCCAAUGACUCUAGAAGAGAAUGAAACUGAUGACUUUGUGCAAUUCUGCCUCACUUAACUUAAAUUCAUAUACUAGUCAAGACAUCACCCCAUGAUACCAUGGGUCUUCUUUGAAAAUGAAGAAUGAACAACAAUAAUCACUGCUACUACUCCACAAUUAUAGACCCUUGUAACUUGUUGGGAAUAUUGUUCUAGCAUCUAAAUUGUUUCCUUAUUUCUACUCUCUCCCCAACACCAUCUUGGAUACCAAUGAUAGCUUCAUAUUCCUAUACCAUAGACAUGAUCAUGUCACUCUGAUUUUGAAAAUCUUUCAUAGAAUUGAAUUGUUAUGAAUUGUGUUCUAAAUGUAGAGAAAUACAGUUCUAAUUAUAAUCUCAACUUGUAGAUGUCAUUUUUUGAUAGAGUUGAAAGCUUAUUUUGUGCUAGAAAGUUUCCUUUCAUCCUUUGUGCUAACUAGGAUCUCAUAGAACCACACAUGACCAAUCAAAAGAUUUAAAACUAAGCAAACUGAAUUCAGAUAAUGAAUUGUAUCGAACAAUCCCUGCUUGGGAAAACUGAUCAUCAAAUUCACUUCCCUCCUCUCUAUAGGAAGGUGGAAGGCUUUGGAGGUUCAGUGGUAUACAGGUUGUCACAUAAGUUGUGUUAGUUGUCUUGAAGAAAUACUUUUCUUUUUAUAAUGAAUAUUUUCAUAGAAGUUGAGUUAAGGGAAUCUGAAUAUAUCAAUGAAAAAGUAAAAAUUAAAAAGGAAGAAAAAAGAAAGUAUUCAGCACACCUGCUUCCCCUCUGAGGUAGCAUGAAAGAAUAGAAUUUUAAUCAAAUAAUAUUCAAUUUUCUCAGUGUGGCAUGUUAGUUAAAAACAAGUGAGCACAGUAGUGCCUAAUUGUUAGACUGACAUCUCUUAAUCAAGGUACAGAGAGCAACUUGAAUUACUAGCAACAGAACAGUCUGUAGUCUGGCACAAAUACCCAGUAACCAUCCAGCCAAGGUGGUAUCAAUAAAGAUGACUAUAUCUGCAUAUUUGUAUCUGUAUACAUAUAUGUGUGUAAGUAUAUAUAUAUGUGUAUAUAUGGACACAUAUGUAUAUGUAUAUGAAAUAGAAGAGAAGGCUUCUGAAAUGGUGUCUCUUUGGUUUGCUAGAAGAGAAUGAAAAGUAGCAAUAGCAGUGAUAGUAUACAUAUUUCCUUCUUUCAAACUCAUAAUAGCUAUUGUUAUUUAAAACAAAAUUCUUCAUUUAAGAUAUAGGAUUUGAAGUCUUGGAAAAGAGAUGGCAGUGAUGAUUUCAUGGAUGCCCUCCAUGUGUUAUUUUUGAUUGGUAAAAAUCACUUUUUUUCUGGGUCCUAUUCCUGCUUGUUCAUCCUAUACAGGCAAAAUACAUGUUUUGGGGGAAGAGCUGUGGGUUAUACUUUGAUGCUCAAGUGUCACUUCUCAUCUCCAUCAAUUUUGCAAGUGAGAAUAGUUUAAUAGUGGGAUGCUUCAGUGAGGGUCAGUCCCUACAGCAUGGAUGAGAUGGUUUCCAGAAAUGAGUGAUGGAGGGAGCCAUUCCUUCCCUGAUUUAGAGAUUAUCUUAUGACUGUUUCCCAUUUGCUUAUUAUGUGGUAAGAAAAAAUCUUUUACUUGCACUGAGUGUAAAAAGAAAAUCCUCAAACAGACAGAAAAAAAGUGAUUCCUCUCUUUCUUGGCAGCAUUAGAAUGAGAAAGAAGAACUGCUGUAGGAUUCUCCAGGUGAGAGGAAAGUCAGGACCAUGCUCUCCCCUUGCCUCUAAGUGGUUAUGAAUACAUGGUGCUAUUGGUUUUCUCUCAAUGUUUUGUUUAUUUUUUCUUGAUUUUAGUUAAAUGAGUUUCUAAGAUGGAAUGGAGUAGGUGAUGACAUAUUUAGAUCCUAAAGUUUGGAAGAGCCACCAGAGGUCCAUCACCUGUAGUCUCUGGCAGAGAUUUCCAAUGAGGAAUCAUCCUAAGGAGCAAUCUGCUUAAUCUGCUUGAUUAAUAGUGGACCAGCCAGGAAGGUGAAGUGCCAGAACCUGCAAGAAAACAGGGGACUCUUUCAUGGAUGUCUGCCAUCUGAUGCCAUGGAUGUCCCAAAGGCACAGGAAUCACUUCCCGAGAAAUCGUUGAUAUCCAUGGUCUAUUAAGAAAUCGGAGCUAGGAGAACAGCUGCCUUCUUUCAAGUUGACUAAAUUGAUUGGAGAGUAGCUGACCUAAGACCCUGUUUUUCUUUUUUCAUGGCCCAGACCAAGUACCAUUCCUCUGGAAUGCUGAAAGAAUGGAAGACGAUUUUACCCUUCCCUACAAGCAUAACUGCAACUGGUUGCAGAAACCAGUGGCUGAAUAGGACAUGGGCUUGUCCACAGAAUCUGAAAGGAAAAUACCUAAAAGUGGACUUUGCCCAAGAGAUUAUAGCAAGUGAGGUCCUGAGAGUUCCCGAAGAUCCACAUAACACAAGAAGCAAAUGUGUUUGCCUACAUGGACUCAAAAGGGAAUUCUUAGAUAAUAUUCCUGGAUUCUUAACCUCUUGGGCAAUAGCAGAGGAGUAGUUUAGUUUCCAAGACAGCAUGAUUCCAGCUUCUGACUAACCUAAAGCAUCCCAAGUCCCCUAACCUAUAUCCUGAAUCUGUCACCUGUGGAUUUAUCUGGAACAUUUGAGGGAGUUAUUUGUAUUUUUUGCUUGGGCCAUCUCUGGUGGUAAUAAACUUCCUAAGUUUACUACCCAGUGGGAAACACAAUACUUCCUCCUUUUUUUCCCAAAAUGUACCUUUUCCAUUGGGAUCCCUGUUUUAUAUCUUGAACUAACUAGUGCAUGUAUUUUAUCUUUUUUUUUUAAACCUGGAACUAGUAGCAGUAGCAAUGAAGCACUAAAUUCAUCCAGAAUAAAGACCUCCUUGAACUUUUCCCCAAAUAUGUUACCUAACAAACUCAAAAUCCUAGAAGUUUUCAGUUUAGACACAUUUUAAUCUUACUUGGAAUUCCUGGGAAAUUAAGGAGGUACUAUCAGAAUACUUUCAGAUAAAUUAUUCUUCCUAGUGCUAACAUGGCCAUGUUCACAGGAGUCUAGAUUUAAGCCUACACAAGAUAUGAGAUCCAAUCCCCUCAUUUUACAGAUGAGGAAUCAAUCCAGAUGGAGAAACUGCUUGUCUAGUUCCUUUAGGAGAUAAGUGGCAGAGCCAACAUUCCAAUUCAUGGGUUGGUUUCAAGCAAGCCCUCUCUCCAUUACAUCCCACAUACAUCUUACACUGUUAAAGGGCACAAGAGUUUUAUUAGUCAUUUUCUCAAAACAGUACAGUGAGGAAAACAUCAAUUACAUUAUAAUAACUAUUUUGCUAUGGAAAAAAUAAAUCUUGCAAAAGAGGAGUGAUUUCCCCAAGGCCAUACAGAUGAUAUAUUACAGAAUCAGGAUUGGUCUCUGGAUCCUCCAAAAAUAUAUUGAAAUAUGUGACAAUACUAAAUAUACAUAAGGGCAAAUAUGUCUUGAAAAUCUAAUCAUAUUUUUGGAAAGAUUCUAGCUCAAUUUGAAAUUUGGGGUUGUUGAUUUAUUUUUCUUUUUGUAAAAAUUCAAUUAUUUCCUAUAGAUACAACACUUGAAUGUUGAACAAUUGUAUUAAAUUAAUGAUUUUAUAAACUCCUGGCAUAAAACUAUCCCAUCCAUAAAACUAUCUCAUCCAUAAAACUAUCCCAUCCAUACCUAAAAGUGUUUGGUGCAAUUGUUAAGGAUAAUGACAGUAAAAAUGUCUUGCUUGUUUGAUAUCAGUCAAAUUUGCCUUUCAGAAACAGAGUUCAGUAGCAUUUGUUAUCACGUGUGUAAGAAGGAAAUUUAAACAGCCACUCGAUUAUAUUUAUUUGAGAAUCCUUUUAGUUUGUUACCUUGUAACUGUUUAAUUUAUAGUAAGUAUACUUACUACACAUUACACAGUCAAGAGUCUGUGUAUGUAACCAGAUUAAGGAUUUGCUCCCAGGAUAAUACCCGAAUUAUAAUUUCAAGUGUAUGUGUGUAUUGUUAUUUAUAUUGUUAUUUGUGUGUUGUAAUAUUAAUCACAAGUAAAUUACUAUGUUAAUCCUAAAUGUGUGAAUGCAUUGUAUUUAUAUCAAAUUAAAUCAAAUAUCAAAUAUCAAAUACCAAUUCUUGUAAGAAAUCACAGGGACCAGAAGUUCAUCCAAAGAUCAUGGAGACCAGGAGGUCCAGAAAUAGUCUUAAAGACCAGGAGAUCUGGAAAUGUCUCAGAGAAUAGAAGGUCUAGAAAUGGUCUAGAAAUAGUCGGAGAAACCAGGAGGGAUGGAAAAAUCUUUGGAGACAUUAUGAGGUAGGGAGUCUAGGGAAGGGGGAGCUGAGAGUGAUGGGGGACAGACAUUAAACAAUGAAAGUUGAGGAAUCUGUAGACUUCUGGCCCUGGGAUUUCUCUGUUACAAUAAAGCCAGAUCUUUACCCACAAAGGUCUCCCAGCAUCUUAUUUUUACAUGUGUGAUUCAAGUGCUUAUUCAUAUCCCAGCUUUAUGCCAAGGUUCAUGACUGAUUUCUGCAAACAGAAUCCAAUGGGACCUAAAAUUAGCAGAGAGACAGACAGACAAACAGAGAUAGAGAGAUAGAGAUAGAUUAAGGGAGGGGGAGAGAGAAGGAGGGGUGAUGGAAGAGAAGAAAAUCAGUGGUCAAAGUUUAAAGCUGAGUUUCAAAGCCCAGGCUUAGAAAGGACUAGUCACCAUAGCAACAGAAACAGCAAAUGCAGGAAUUGGGAAAUAGGAAGUGAACCUAAUGCUCAGGACUUGAAGGAUCAGAAAAAAGGGCUAAAGGAAAAGUGAAGCAAUAGGACUUCUUGUUAUAAUGGCUGGUGAGGGGUCACAGAGAAUCCUAUUUCUCCUAUAUUCACUUCAGCAAAAAUAUAAAAAGAGCACCAGACCAAAUAAUGAUGAAGAAAUUCAAAGAGAGACUAGAGCAAGUGCCUUCAUUCAGCCUAGGACUGUACAAAAAGAUAACCAGAAGCCUACAUCAGAGAUGUAAUAGUAAUAGAUGAAGGUAAAUAAGCCAGGGAAACCUGAAGCCUGGAACACCACAUCUGGGUAGGGGGAGGCAGGGCAGAAAGCAUUAGAAUAAAUCAAGGGAGAAACUCCUACAUCCUGCUAAAGCCACAAUGCUCUGACCACUCUGAAGAGGUACCUAAGAACAGAUAUAGGCAGAAAUCUGAUCUUGGUGCCCUAGAGAAGCUCAAAGUCCAUCCUGCUUUGACUUGAGAUACUCCAGAGGGCCCUGAAGCUUGCAGUACAUUCUACUGGGAAGGGUAGAAGUCUGGAAGGACCAGGUAGAGAAGCAGAAGAGGAGUCAAAAAUCCAUAUUUCUUUAACUGGUAGGUUAGGGAAAAGAAGCCAGCAGAACUUUGAUAAGGAGGCCACAGAGGGUCUGGAAGUAUUCCAGAAAAUAAUCUAAGAUACUCCAAAGGGUUCUGAAGAUGAGAGAAAUGGCAACUCAGAUGAUCUAAGAAGAUUCUAAUACCUGUAAGCAAACACACCAGGAGCAAUGAUAGUCAGUGGCAGAACUCCAGAUAAUCAAGGUAAAGUAGGGGAAAGGAAGACAGAAAAGGAUAUAUUUAUAUAAUUUAGCCUUCUAUGUAUCAAACACUUUGCUAAUCAUUUUACAAAUUUCUCACUUUAUCCUCAUGACAGCCCUAUAAAGUAGCUACUAUUAUAAUCCAUAUUUUACAGUUAAGGAAACUGAGAUGGACAGAGGUUAAAUGACUUUCAAAGAGAGGGUUACACAGCUAGUAAAUGAAUGAAACUAUAUUUGAGUUCAGGUCUUCCUGACUAGGGGUCUAACUCCUCCAAAUGGGGCUUGACCAUCCCAUCUGAGAAUGUGAAGGGGGAAGAAUCUGGUACUGGAACAGAGUUCCAAAUCAGGGACUAAGCUUAGAGAUAUAAAUAAACAUAAAACAUAGAAUAGUCUAAAGAAAUGGUAUGUCUCAAGAGAUGUCACAGGAGUAUAACCAAAAGAAGAAAAUGAAUCUAUAACAACUCAAGACUAGAAGCAGUGCCUCAGAGGGGGAAAAACAAACAGAAACAAAACCAGCCAAAUAAAUAAAAAGAUUGGCCACAAGAAACACAAGAUUACCUGGAAGAAAUAAAAGAAGACAAGUAAUAAAUGAAAUGAGAAAGAAUUCUAGAAGAAAGAAUCGAACAGCUUAAACCAGAAGUUAUAAAACCUUAUCCAAACAAUGGAUUCUCAGAAUAUUAGAAUGGGUCAAAAAGAACUCAAUUAUUCCAUCACUCAUUAAAAAUAUUCAAACAAAAUUCAAAAUUCAAUAAAGUGAAUGAAAUGUAAAGCAUCUAUUU